rnacentral:lncRNA from 1 species
UCUUUUAAAAACAAAUUAAUAUCUAUUCUACACAUUGCCUUCUUUCUUUCAAAGGAUAUCUCCUUUCAUUUGUAGAAGAAGAUUCACCUUGUUGCAUUCCAUGUUCUUUUUUAACCUUCUUUGCUCUUAAACAUUGUCAUUUCUCACUCAAUGGUUGAUACUCCUCAUCACCAUCAUCACCAUCAUAAUCUUCAAUAUCUUCAUUUCUUUCGUUGUUGUUCCUAGCAAUUAUAGGAGCCUUCAUCUUUUCAACCUUUUUUGGCUUUUCAUCUUCAUCAUCUUCAUUGUCUUCAUCUUCAUCAUCUUCAAUGUCUUCAUCUUCAUCAUCAUCAUUGUCUUCAUCUUCUUGUUUCUAUGCUGAAUUCAAAGAUGUAUCCACAAACACACCAUUACU